UAGGGAAUCUUCGGCAAUGGACGAAAGUCUGACCGAGCAACGCCGCGUGAGUGAAGAAGGUUUUCGGAUCGUAAAACUCUGUUGGUAGAGAAGAACGUUGGUGAGAGUGGAAAGCUCAUCAAGUGACGGUAACUACCCAGAAAGGGACGGCUAACUACGUGCCAGCAGCCGCGGUAAUACGUGGGUCCCGAGCGUUGUCCGGAUUUAUUGGGCGUAAAGCGAGCGCAGGUGGUUUAUUAAGUCUGGUGUAAAAGGCAGUGGCUCAACCAUUGUAUGCAUUGGAAACUGGUAGACUUGAGUGCAGGAGAGGAGAGUGGAAUUCCAUGUGUAGCGGUGAAAUGCGUAGAUAUAUGGAGGAACACCGGUGGCGAAAGCGGCUCUCUGGCCUGUAACUGACACUGAGGCUCGAAAGCGUGGGGAGCAAACAGGAUUAGAUACCCUGGUAGUCCACGCCGUAAACGAUGAGU
rnacentral:rRNA from 1 species